rnacentral:rRNA from 1 species
UACGGAGGGUGCGAGCGUUGUCCGGAAUCACUGGGCGUAAAGGGCGCGUAGGUGGCGCGGGCAGUCAACGGUGAAAGUUCGGGGCUCAACCCUGAAUCGGCCGUCGAUACUCCCGUGCUUGAGCACUGUAGAGGCAGAUGGAAUUCCGGGUGUAGCGGUGGAAUGCGUAGAGAUCCGGAAGAACACCGGUGGUGAAGGCGGUCUGCUGGGCAGUAGCUGACACUGAGGCGCGACAGCGUGGGGAGCAAACAGG